GGACUCGCCGCUCAUCCUAAGAGGACUCGCCGCUCUUCCAUGACGCCGCCGCUGCAACGCGGCGUUGUUCCAGCACCAAAUCGCAGAUGCAUCUUUGCAAAUCCAACAAAGUGGUGGGAAUAUCUACAACAUGAAGUUUCUCAAGCUGAUAGGGCAUUCUUCUGCAUGUUUGUGACAUGAUCAUGGUGCACAUAUAUUUAAUAGUGAAGGUCUUCGGCUAUCACUAUGAAUGGUUCUGCUGUUGUGUAAGUGAUUUCUUAAGUGUUGUGUUGUAACACAUUAGAGUAAAAGAUUAAUUGUGUAUGAAGAAUAAUAUUACGGAGUCAGGCACAAUUUGACCUUAGUUCUGACCAAAUUAAUCUUUAUUUGUUUGCUA